CCUACGGGAGGCAGCAGUGGGGAAUAUUGCACAAUGGGGGGAACCCUGAUGCAGCGACGCCGCGUGAGUGAAGAAGUAUUUCGGUAUGUAAAGCUCUAUCAGCAGGGAAGAAAAUGACGGUAACCGACUCAGAAGCCCCCGCUAACUACGUGCCAGCAGCCGCGGUAAUACGUAGGGGGCAAGCGUUAUCCGGAUUUACUGGGUGUAAAGGGAGCGCAGACGGGUGUGCAAGUCUGGAGUGAAAGGCGGGGGCCCAACCCCCGGACUGCUCUGGAAAGUGUAGAGCUGGAGUGCAGGAGAGGUAAGCGGAAUGCCUAGUGUAGCGGUGAAAUGCGUAGAUAUUAGGAGGAACACCAGUGGCGAAGGCGGCUUACUGGACUGCAACUGACGUUGAGGCUCGAAAGCGUGGGGAGCGAACAGGAUUAGAUACCCCUGUAGUC
rnacentral:rRNA from 1 species